AGUGAACGCUGGCGGUAGGCCUAACACAUGCAAGUCGAACGGCAGCACAGUAAGAGCUUGCUCUUACGGGUGGCGAGUGGCGGACGGGUGAGGAAUACAUCGGAAUCUACUUUUUCGUGGGGGAUAACGUAGGGAAACUUACGCUAAUACCGCAUACGCCCUACGGGUGAAAGUAGGGGAUCUUCGGACCUUGCGCGAUUGAAUGAGCCGAUGUCGGAUUAGCUAGUUGGCGGGGGAAAGGCCCACCAAGGCGACGAUCCGUAGCUGGUCUGAGAGGAUGAUCAGCCACACUGGAACUGAGACACGGUCCAGACUCCUACGGGAGGCAGCAGUGGGGAAUAUUGGACAAUGGGCGCAAGCCUGAUCCAGCCAUACCGCGUGGGUGAAGAAGGCCUUCGGGUUGUAAAGCCCUUUUGUUGGGAAAGAAAAGCAGCAGGUUAAUACCCCGCUGUUCUGACGGUACCCAAAGAAUAAGCACCGGCUAACUUCGUG
rnacentral:rRNA from 1 species